GAUGAACGCUGGCGGCGUGCCUAAUACAUGCAAGUAGAACGCUGAAGGAGGAGCUUGCUCUUCUGGAUGAGUUGCGAACGGGUGAGUAACGCGUAGGUAACCUGCCUGGUAGCGGGGGAUAACUAUUGGAAACGAUAGCUAAUACCGCAUGACAACAGUUAUUGCAUGAUAACUGUUUAAAAGGGGCAACUGCUCCACUACCAGAUGGACCUGCGUUGUAUUAGCUAGUUGGUGAGGUAACGGCUCACCAAGGCGACGAUACAUAGCCGACCUGAGAGGGGGAUCGGCCACACUUGGACUGGGACACGGCCCAGACUCCUACGGGAGGCAGCAGUAGGGGAUCUUCGGCAAUGGACGGAAGUCUGACCGAGCAACGCCGCGUGAGUGAAGAAGGUUUUCGGAUCGUAAAGCUCUGUUGUAAGAGAAGAACGAGUGUGAGAGUGGAAAGUUCACACUGUGACGGUAUCUUACCAGAAAGGGACGGCUAACUACGUG
rnacentral:rRNA from 1 species